rnacentral:rRNA from 1 species
GACGAACGCUGGCGGCGUGCUUAACACAUGCAAGUCGAACGGAAAGGCCCUGCUUUUGUGGGGUGCUCGAGUGGCGAACGGGUGAGUAACACGUGAGUAACCUGCCCUUGACUUUGGGAUAACUUCAGGAAACUGGGGCUAAUAUCGGAUAGGAGCUCCUGCUGCAUGGUGGGGGUUGGAAAGUUUCGGCGGUUGGGGAUGGACUCGCGGCUUAUCAGCUUGUUGGUGGGGUAGUGGCUUACCAAGGCUUUGACGGGUAGCCGGCCUGGGAGGGUGACCGGCCACAUUGGGACUGAGAUACGGCCCAGACUCCUACGGUAGGCAGAAGUGGGGAAUAUUGCACAAUGGGCGGAAGCCUGAUGCAGCAACGCCGCGUGCGGGAUGACGGCCUUCGGGUUGUAAACCGCUUUCGCCUGUGACGAAGCGUGAGUGACGGUAAUGGGUAAAGAAGCACCGGCUAACUACGUG